CUUAGUUCUUCCUUUGCAACUGUUAGCUCAGGCUUCUUUGCAUACCUGCACCAGGAAGGAUCUCACGAGGACAGAUGAUCUUCACCUCAUCAUGUUGUUGACUGAACUUCUUACAAGAACAAGCAGCAAGGAGCUCGUAUCACCCAGCUAUCUGACCACAGCAGAGGGGAGCUGCAUUGAGAGAGGUGCAGUGAUGUGGGUCCCAGCAGGGGUUGAGGAAAGGCAGGUAUGAAUGAGUGCCUCUUCCAGAAAGGAAGGAAGUUUCUCCAUCUCUACCCCAAUGGAUCCGUUGAGAGUUCACAUUACCUUCAGCAGUGACCCCCACAAGGCAAUGCGACGGCUGCCCUUUCUCCCCUGCACACAGCUCUGGCCCCCUCACUGCCCUCCCUCCUGUCAGUGGCUGCUCAAGCAGGCACGCAAUGAGCCACCAGCCUGGGGAACUAAAACAUGACAUUUCAGCACUAAAAUUCAAAAUCCAUUUCCUUUCCUUGCUUUACUAUGAGUAAGCCCCAGCUCACCGCAUAGCUGUAUGAAUGCUGACACAAGGGAUGAGGUGCCAGAGGAUAAGAAUGAACGGCCAGGGUUUCAAGGAUGCUGAGAGUGCCUGGGAAACUACAGAUCCCUUGUUCCCCCGUUUCUGUGAGCACAGUGAGCAGGAAGCAGUGCAACUGUGUCUGUGGGUCACAGGAAGAAGCACACUGACCCUGCAGCUCUCUCCAGCUCUGAUCUGAGCAGCUGGAGCUGACUCAGAGCUCUUGAUGCUGGUACUUAGUUUGUCAUUAGAAAACACAGUCAUUUGCUGCUUGACGAGCGGGGGGACAGACGGAUGGAUGGACACUAUGCGUGGGGCUGAAAUAAUCUUUCCAUGGAUUUUAACCCCAUUAUGGUUUUUGAUGGCCAUGCUACUUCAAAGAAACAUAGAAUAUCCCAGGUUGGAAUGGACCCAGGGGGACCGUUGAGUCCAACUCCUGUCCCUUCACAGUACCACACAAAAAAUCAGACCACACGACUGAGAACACUAUCCAAACGCUCCUUGAACUCCAGCACUCAGGGCCGUGCCCACCACCCUGUGGUGCAGCCCCUUUCCCUC
ensembl:lncRNA